CACUAAGAAGCUAAAUGAGCGUUAACCUUUUAAGUUAAAGACUGGGACUUUACCUCCCCUUAGUGA
rnacentral:tRNA from 1 species